UGACUGCAUCUCUGGAGCUCAGCCACAGUGAUCUUUUGGUUCGUCUUUACCUCUCUCACCAAGUCUCUUCUUCCCCGAUAGCUCAGUUUGUCCGGACGGCCAGCUCAAGGAAGGGUUCUGGUCACCCCAUUUCAGGAUUAUGGAGGCCAAUGUGCUCUUAGGAACCUUCAGUGAAGCAGAAUUUUUUAACCUUGGCCAGAUCUGUGCCUUGUCACAAUUCUGUCUCUGAAGUUCCUUUGACUUCAUGAUUCUCAUUUCCUUUGACAUGCAUUGUGAGCUGUAAGGUCUGCAAAAUGUCAACAAUUCUGUUUUUUUCUGUCAAUAUGGGGUGUUGUGUGUACAUUAAUGAACUUAAAUAUAUACCCACUGUACCUCUCUGUAGACUAUCACACCAAAGCCUUGGUGCCACCUGGGGUGGGUCAGAGGAACUACACCCUAGAUUACAAUGAGUGCUUCUACAAUUGGGACCACAAGGACCAAGAGGAGAAAGGGGAAUGCCAGGUCCUCCAGGAGAAAAUGACAGGGGGAGUUUUCUGGUUUGGAGUGAUCAUGUGACUUGGCCGAACUCCAUGAACUGUCCUACUUGGCCUCUGCUGACCCCAUCUGAUAGUCACCUGCUGGAACACUACCUGGAUCCUAAUUCAUUAUUCACAAGCGGACUGCAAUAACCUUCAUAUGCCAUCAUUUUUUCAUUGUAAUCCAGUGCUGACCAGAGGAGGAUGGGUUCCUCUUGCUGAGCCUAGGUUCCUCUCAAGGUUUUCUUCCUGUUAGAGGGAGUUUUUGUCUUGCCACUGUUGCCUCACCUGGGGCUUUUAGCACUGUUCUAUUUGUUAGGCGUUUUGUGACCAUGUACAUUGUAAAAGCUUCCAUAUAAAUAAAGAUUGAUUAACUGAUUGAUGGGG
rnacentral:lncRNA from 1 species